AGCGUUUUGUCUGCGCCACGGGCGUCUGGGAAUUGUAGUUCAACCAACAGCUGGAGGACACCGAUAAUCCUCUGGUCUCUGGCGGGCCACCGCUGAUUGUCAUUGUUCCCGCCUCUUGUCCUUCUCCCCAGUGUCACUGCCCCCUCCUUCACGGGCACAACUCCUCCUCUCACCCGUGGUUGGUUGUUUGCUUUCCCGCUUCGCUGUAGGACCGCCAUUUUAAAUAAAACUAAUAUUGUGCAGGGCCUGUCGUCCUUCCCUCUGCCGUCGUUUUACGUUUGCCAGGGGGACCUCUGGCCUCCUACCGCCUCUCUCCUGUCAGCCUGACUGCGUUAAUAUAACAGCGCCUUGUCUCCGCUUCCCCGGGCAGCUCGACAUCACUCUGCGCAUCCCGGGCCGCCCAGAGAGAAAGAAACAUGUCUUCUGACACUGAAUCCAAUGCACUCACUAAAGAGGAAUCUGAACAAAUUGAAGAGGCUACCGAAGAAAAAAUGACUGACGAUGCAGAAAAUGGAAAAGAGGAAGAUGAAGAAGAAGAAGAGGAGGAAGAUGAUGAGGAGGAAGAUGAUGAUGAUAAAAAGGAGAAAAGCUUAAUUGUAGAAGGGAAAAGGGAGAAGAAAAAGGUGGAAAGACUAAGCCUCGAGAUGAAUAUAUCUAAAAAGGAGUUUGUUCUGACUGAAGGAAAGGGACAGAAGUUAUAUGACAUUGAACGUGUGCAGUACUUCCUGAGAAAGAAGAAGUGUGACGAACUAAGACCUUUACACAGACUACUUUUUAACCGUCUGGGCAUAAUCAAUUUGGUCAAGAAAAAUAUUGGUCAGUUCAAUGGAUUCCCUUUUGAGAAAGACAGUGAGCAAUACAAAAAAAAGGAAGAGAUGCUUAAAAAAUGGAAAAAAAUUGAUCUGAAGAAUACCUGUGGUGUACUUGAUCUUGAAAAAUCUGGUUCCAACACUGAGCUGAUCUCAAAAAUUAUGAAUUUCCUCAUGGAACCAAAGUCUACUGGAAAACCUUUACCAAAAACCAAAGGUAAAUCUCCUAAAGCAAGUAAAAAAGACAGAAGCAGUUCAGGAUCUGCACGCAAAUCCAAGAGCAACAGAUCAAGUGUUAUUCUCUCUGAUGAAUCAAGCAGUGAAGAUGAGAAAAAAGACAAGGAGGAAUCUUCUGAGGAAGAAAAAGAAAGUGAUGAAGAAGAAGAGCCACCGAAGAAAAUUGCAAAAAAGGCAAAAUCAAAGCCUAAAUCAACACCCAAAGGCAAAAAAGCUGCAAAAUCAGCAAAUGUCAAAAAAGCUGACAGUAGUACUGCUAACAAGAAAAGUCAAGGAAAUGCCAAAAAAAGAAAAAGCUGUACAAUCGGAGAGUGAAUCAGAUGACAGUUCAGAUGAUGAACCUUUAAUCAAAAAAGUGAAGAAGCCACCUACAGAUGAAGAGCUAAGAGAGACCGUGAAGAAGCUGUUAGCUGAGGCAAAUCUGGAAGAAGUGACAAUGAAACAAAUCUGCAAGAAGGUGAAUGAGAGCUACCCCAACUGUGAUCUGUUUGCCAGGAAAAAAUUCAUCAAAUCUACAGUUAAAGAGUUAAUUUCAUGAUUCCAGUUUUGGACAUGGACAAAAAGGGAUUGUUGAAUAUGUUCCUAUGGAUCACAAGCUCUGAGUAUCUGACACCAGCAAAAUGUAUUUGUUUUUACCACUUCGGGUACAAAGUUUUUUUUAAGCAGGAUUGCUUUAUCUCUGUGUUUGCUUAUGUAAAUUGCUUUAUUAAAAAUGCCUUUUUACAGUGAUUUCAGAUGGUGUUUUCUUAGCCCCUUGUUUUCUGUUUCCCACAUUGUUGUUUUCUUUCCCCCAGUUGUAAUAUAUUUCCUGUUAGACCUUUUUAAGGUUGUGGAAAAGUCCAGAAUUUUUCUGGUUUAUUCCAAUAAUAGAUAAUUUAUAAUUUUGAAAAAAAGCGAGUAUAAAACAAAUAGGCAAGGCAAUGUGAUUUAUAAAAAUAUACAGAUAUUUUAUUCUUGUAUUUUCCCCUCCAGCAUAAACGGAUGUAAUUAUGUCAUUUGGAAGGCCAGUGUCCAUGUUUUAUUUUAUUGUAAUAUUUGAUUAUUGGGAACUGCAUUAUAAUUGACUUUCACAUGCCUGCCUAAAUGCUAUUACCCUUAUUUAAAUGAUGGGAUUUUUAAUAGGAAUGCAUAUAUGAAUUUAUCCUUUGCCCUUCACAGACUGCAUAGGAUUUUGUUGGACAUACUGCAUGUAGAUGUUGCUAUUUUUGUAUUUUUAUAUAUAUAUAUAUUAAAACUUUACAAAUAU